GCCAGAACUGUUGCACAGAGAAACUCUGUCUCAGAAAACCUAAAAAAGGAAACAAAAAAGAGGGAAAAGUAUAAGAAAAAGAGAGAAAGAAAAAUAAAAGACUGCGUGAGUUUCAGAGAGACUUUGAAAUUCAACUUUUAAAUACACUUGAGACUGUUAAAGACUAUGGGGACUUUUGAAGUUAGAUUUAAUGUAUUUUUGCCUUAUGAUUUGGCUACAAGCCUUUGGGGGCCAGGGAGUGGAGUAUGGUCGUUUGAAACCCAAAGGGAUUGGCACUACUAGGAGGUGUGGCUUUGUUAGAAUAGUUAUGUAUGGCCUUAUUAGAGGAAAUGUGUCACUGUAGUAGUGGACUUUGAGGUCUCCUAUAUCUGUGCCUGGGGACACAGUUUACUCCCUGUUACCUGCAAGAUCAAGAUGUAGAAUUCUCUGAUCCUUUUCCAAGAUCAUGUCUGCCUGCACACUGCCAUUUCCCACCUUGAUGAUAAGAGACUAAACUGUUGAACUGUAAGCCACACCCGUGAAAUGUUUUCUGUUAUGAGUUUCUGUGGUCAUGGCGUCUCUUCACAGCGAUAGAAACCUGAGCUCCAUCUGAAAGAUGAAUGUGGUAAAUGUUGAAAUGAAGGCAUUACCAGUUCUGCAGCAGUUCAGAGGUGCUAGGUAUUUUUUUUGUUUGUUUCUUUAGUUCCUUAAUAGGAAGCAGUUAAAAUGAGUCUUAGGAAGUAGGCAUUGAUAGGCAGGGCCUGUAGGAGACAGAGUCCCGGGCAUGCGAGUUGCUGAAGACAUAGCCCAUGCUCUCAGAUCAUGUAAAUUCUCAGUGUGAGACUGUGGUAGUUUCAAUGAAAGAAGCCCCCGUAGGUUCAUAGGGAGUGGUUCUGUUAGGAGGUGUGGCUGUGAUGGAGCACGUGUGGCCUUGUCAGAAGUGAUGCCACUGUGGGUGGGUUUAGAGGUUUCAGAAGCUCAAGCCAGGCCCAGUGUCGCUUUAACCUCAUGCUGCCUACUGAUUCAGACGUAGAAUGCUUGUCUCCUUCUCCACACCACGUCUGCAGCCAUGCUGCCCUGCUUCCUGCCAUGACGAUAAUGGACUACACCUCUGAACUGUAAGGCAGCCCCAAUGAAAUGUUUUCCUUUCUAAGAGUUGCUUUAUUUUGACUCUUUAUCAAAGGGUUAAUUCGCUCUUGGCCUCAUGUACUUCAGACAUGCAUUAUGGCAGGGGAGUGUGUGGCAUCAUGGGACGUUUCCUUUGCAUGGCAAAAUUCUAGUAAGUAGAUCAAGACAGACAUGAGGGGCUACAUACAAUCGUCAAAGUCACAUCCACAGUGACUUCCUUCCUUCCCAGGUUUCCACUGUCUGUUAGGGAAUCAUCCGGGGGUUAUCAACACAACAUGGUUUUAGCCAGUGUAGGCAAACAUUUGGGAUACUGACUUUGGCUGAGCAGAAGGUUGGAGGCAGGAGUCAGUGCUGCCACAUUUCUGAUCCCAGGAGGAACCUGGGACACGGCGUGUGUGUCUGGGGGUGUGGGAACAGCGGGGCUGAGAGGGCCGACUAGAUGACUGAGCUCUGGAGCCCAGAUGUGAGCUUGCUUCAAAACAUACAGGGCUAGUUGGGAAGUCAGGCAGCAUCUUGGGUGCCUGGGAUGACUCACUAAAAGAACUGAUUCAUGGUGUCUUCCAUCAGAAUGUGUUAGACUAAGGUGGACCAUCCCUGAGAGUGCUUUACCAAUCCCAGGUGAGUGCUUGCAUGUGGUGGGGGCUGACGGAGAGGCAGGAGAUCUGGAAGACAUAGGGAGACAGGCUCUGACAACCAGGUUUGGUGACAAAUUGAGCAAAGUGGAUGAAAGAAGAGGCAAUUUACUUAUCUUUAAAGUGAGAGUUUUGCACACAGCAUUCCUUUCCCUUCUGGAAAUUCAUAACUUCCAGGUUUCUCAAGACUUAGCAGCUGGAAAAAUGCCAGUACCUUCCUUCUUUCCCCUUUCACAACCCGUUCCAGAUAGGGUGGGAGCAAGAAUGGAGACUGGUCUCUGGAAGACAUUUUACUUCGGUGGGGAGGGUGGGUGCUUGGACAGGUCACUACAUGCUCGUGUGGCAGUGGGCACUACUGUAGAGUUAAGAGAAGGCUGAAGAAAUCUACCUUUGCCUGGAAAAGUGGCAACAAGUCUGUUAACAUCAGUCACAACAGCAAUGGAUGCUGGGGAGAAGGUCUGAAGAAGAAAUGGGUGCUGAGGGGAAGGACUGAGGAAGAAAUGGGGGUUUAGGGAGAAGGACUGUAUGUGGGAGAGUUGCGUGAGACCCACCAGGACUAGAGUGACUGGAAGUCAGGUAGGCUGGGGGUGAGGGGCAGGGAGAAAGGGAACGUGGUGGAGAUGGCGUGAUAUAGGAGGACCUCUUUCUUGUGGAGGAAAUGGGGAUAGGAUAUAGCUCCUAAUAUAAGAUACUAGGUGAUGUUUAAAGAGUGUAGUGAAUGAUCUGGUUUGUGCUUAGGUUGAUGUCCCUGGAGGGGCAGUGACCACGAUGAGCCCCAGAGGCCCUGGGCAGGAAUUGGUGGGACUCCUACGUUUGAGGAAUGCUGGUCAUACAUAGUCCAUCCCUAUAGAAGUUUCAGGGCGUGCCUUCAGUGUGGGGUCAGAAGUCUUGUCGAAGGAGUCCCCUUCUUGCCCCUGUGUUCCUAGUGAACACAGAAGCACCCCAGUGGGAGCUGCCCGAGCACUUGCUGCUUCAGUUUGACGAGCUCCAGAGCCGACCCUCUGAACCGUCCCAUCUGACAGUCCUGCUUCUGAGGAGGCUGUGUGCCACUUGCCUGGGACCUCCUCCCUGCCACUAUGACGCCGGGGACAGAACUCCCCGACGAAGCUGACUCCUCAUCUUGAUGGCACAGCACCGAGCCUGGAGGCAGACCGGCUUCCCAGCCUUCCACAGGGGUUUCUGGUGGAGCCUGCCAUCCCUGCAGCAGGGUUACGUGCAUUUUGUUCAAUGUGAGGUUGCAUUUUAUUCUCUCUAAUUACCAACUCAAUGAUAGAAGUGGUUUGGCUUCUGUUUGUGCGGCUCCGUGUAAGAUAAUAAAACAGCUCUAUCUAUCACAUUCCAAUUUAAAUAGCUACCGUUUGGUGUGUGUGUGUGUGUGUGUUGGGGUGUUGUUAAACACCACAUCAAUAAAGCAUAACCCAACUGCUUUUCCUGA